ensembl:snoRNA
UUCUUUUUUCUUUUCAUCAACCAUGAUGAUUGAGUGUUCCUGCCAUUGUGUGAGAUGUGCCUCCCUCUAAACCUUGUAACGUAAGUCAGCACAUUACCCAGUUGAUG